rnacentral:hammerhead_ribozyme from 1 species
AUCAAGUUGACGAGUCCCAAAUGGGACUAAAGGCGUGUCCUGGAU